rnacentral:tRNA from 1 species
GUUGUGGCUCAGUGGUGGAGUGCUCGCCUAGCAUGCAUGAGGCACUGGGUUCAAUCCUCAGCACAACA